CCAAAACCAUCAAAUAUGAAUAAUAUGGCAUGGGGGUAGGGAAUACCAUGAUAGGGACUAGUUCCCCAUGUCAUCUUCAAGACCCAAUAAGCCAGGACCAUCCUCAUCUAGUGUGCUAAAAAAGGAAACUCCUGUGUGUCUGAUGUCUUUACCUUAGAGCCUUUUUAUUCAAACCAAAUAGCUUAGCGAUGAUCUUCACACCCUUUUAUACACAUACGGGUAUAUGGUCCUGAAAUCCCUCUUCUUCAACUCUACAUGUGGGCUUAAUCUAGGGAAUCUUAAGUAGUAUGUUGAUCAAAAAGACCUGCCGUGGUACUGGAGAAGGUGUAACCUCAGGGAGGCAUGUGCAUCUUCAGUGAAUCAUUGCUUGCUCCUCGUCUUUCUUUGGAUGUGGUGUUCGCUAGUGAACGAGGCAUUAUUAUCUCCAUGUAUUUUGUUGAAAGAUUUCAUCAGUUGGAACUGUAGUACAUCAUUUGAAUGUAGGUACAAGGUAUAGUGUACAUCUUCAGAUCCAGUUAGUUCACGGCAUCCAGUCAGCAGGUGAUGAGUCCUUUUGAUUCAAGGGAUUGAGUUUGUUAUACUGUUUGAGAAGUGUUGUAUUUUCUUUAUUCAGUCGUAUUGAGUUGGUUUAGUCGGGAAUCAUGACCCGGAUAUCUACAGUCAGUACUAUUAGAGGCUUUAUAGACAGUCAGUAGAUGUUGAUGUAUUUCAUUCCAGUUUUGGUUGUGAAAGCAGAGUUGUAAUCUUGUAAAUUUAGUUUUGUAUCUCUCAUAUUUAGAAAAGAGUUAUUUUCUGCAGAUUUGUAUAGAUUUAUACUUUUUAU